AUGGUCUUACAAUCAAUUAAAGAGCGUGUAACAUACGGUCUCCUAGGAGCUUUUGAUGUUUCGUUUCUAAGAAUUGCCAUGAUAAGCUUAAACAAUAUGGUCAAGCAAGCACCAUUUGAUAAUUGUUUAACCACAAUGAGAUCAAGGCAUGUUAUACUGUCAGAACAUAGACUUCCUGGAAACAUUAAACCUUUCAUCUCGCAGCUUAGCCAUGCAUAUCAAUGCUACCUGAGGGACACUCCAUGUAUGGAUAAUUAA